rnacentral:lncRNA from 1 species
UGCAUGAUGGGUAAUGAAGUCACAGCCCCCACACUCAGACCCUCCUCCCAGUCCCGAAGGAUGGUGUCCAUCCUGUGGGGCUGGUAGGCAGUGAUCUUGUCCCCUGCCAUCCUCUACGUUCAGUAUGGAGCCCAGGCAACUUUCAGGAGGAAGACAAAUGCCAGAGAGCCAGGGCCAGGGAAAGCACGCAUAGGCAGCUCAAAUCCUAUUGGGGAGCUUCUCGAGGAAGGAGACUUCACAUCAGACUCACCACAGAAAGCAACUUGCAGAAAAUGUCAGCGGCAACUUCUUUCCUCCCACAUGGCUCCCUUCCUGGCUCCUUCUCUGGGCAUCUGGCUGACCACUCAUCUGCCCCUUCUUCUACCAGUGCUUUGGGAAAAACCAUUUCCCAGGUGUCUGAUGUGUGUCAGUUUCCAGGCUGAAGAUGAAUACGAGUGGGCCCGCUUAGUCUGAAAACUCAGUCGCUGUUUUAAAAGGGACUUCAGAAACUUCAGACCUUCUGGGCCUGACACGUGGGUCAUGUGAUCCUUUCCACCCGCUCCACUUAGGAAGCCCCAAACUCUCUAAGGAGCAGGCUGUGUCUGUUCUCCUAAGGAGCUCCUGGGCACCCUGCUGUCCUCGUUGGCAGAACAGCCCGGCCCGGUGGAUGGUAUUGUCCCGCUUUCCAGAGGAGAAAGCAGAGGGUUUGGGGAGUCUGCUCUAAGUUACACAGAGCUGCUGCAAGAUUUAGGAUUAGAACUCGGUGUCUGGAACAGCUGCUGACCUCAGAAGUUAGGUUCCAACACAGUUUCCACAAACUCUGUGUCUGUGAAACCCCACAUGGGUAAUGCUUCCAAGGGCUUUUCAGCAUCCAGCCAGAGUCGUUGAUUGUGCUGAGUGGGAAAAAGGGUCAAAAUAAAUGUGUGCUAC